rnacentral:rRNA from 1 species
AUUGAACGCUGGCGGUAGGCCUAACACAUGCAAGUCGAACGCGAAAGUCCCUUCGGGAGUGAGUAGAGUGGCGGACGGGUGAGUAACGCGUAGGAAUCUAUCCUGUAGUGGGGGAGUAACGUUUCGAAAGGAACGCUAAUACCGCAUACGCCCCAACGGGGGAAAGGACGGGGGAGUCUUCGGACCUCCGUGCUAUAGGAGGAGCCUGCGUCGGAUUAGCUAGUUGGUGAGGUAAAGGCUCACCAAGGCGACGAUCCGUAGCUGGUCUGAGAGGAUGAUCAGCCACACCGGAACUGAGACACGGUCCGGACUCCUACGGGAGGCAGCAGUGGGGGAAUAUUGCGCAAUGGGCGGAAAAGCCUGACGCAGCCAUACCGCGUGUGUGAAGAAGG